UUUUCAAUUCUUUAUUCUCCUUACCAAUAGUACAAAGGUAUUGAGAAAAUACACAAAAGUAUUCAUACAAAUAUACAAUACGAUGUGUUCACAAUAUAUACACAUAUGUACAAAUGCUAUGGGGAAAAGUCAGCUUGGGCAUGCACAAUUGUUCGUUUCACCGGAGCUUGAUGAACCUAACAUGAUAGCACGUGACUGUACAUAUGGUGGGUAGCACGUGACCGUGCACGUGGUGAGAGGGUUCAUAAGUACAUGUUUCAAAAACAAUUGUCAAGAGAUUUAAAAAAAAAAAAAAAAAAAAAAAAGUUCCAUUUGAUUUGUGAAAACAUUUUUUAAAAGUGUUCUUAAUAAUAAUAAUUAAAAAAAAUUAUUAUGAAGGAGUUUUAUUUCUCCAUUUGUGCAUAGUUACAGGACGACAUAUCCACCUCAGAAACGCUCAACAAGAGUUGAUAUACUAGAAUUGUUGUUCAUAAGGAUGACUCUUAAUCAUGAUGUUAAAGGUCAACAAUAUUUCAUAUCUAUUAUAUGUUUCUAGCUCUCUAGCAUGAAAUAUGAAAAUUGCAUGUUUCAAGAUUUAAAGAAAAUCUAUUUUAGAGCAUAUAUUUAUUUUUAACCUAGAAUAUCAAUUUUUUAUUAAAAACUCAUGCCUAUAUGGUCCACGUAAUUGAAGUCCUUUUUAAAAAGGACAGCAACUUAUUAUUGUCUGAUCAAUAUCCCAAUCAUCUUCGCUAGCCAAAGGUUUACGAUCUGCUCCAGAAGCGGAGCGGAUCGCAAAGCCUUGGUUAGCGAAAAUGUUGCUUGAUAAACAAUCAAACUUGGUACGCUACCCCCCCCCCCCCUUCCCACCAGGCGAAGACAGUCCCAGGUCUGACCCCCAGGUGAUCCCCGUUUCCCAUCCCCACCCCUUUUUGUCUUGAUGUUAGUUUAGCACGACAUACAUGGCUAAUAAUUAAGGAGGUUACUAAUAUAAAAGGGGGUGUAACAUAUAUAGAAAACUUUGUUCCACAUUAUAUAUCUUAUUUACAAGACACAAACGCCUAUAUAGUCAGUGGCUUAAAAAUUAGGAUUCUGUUCAAUGUGAUAAAUGUUCUUUUUUUCUCUAUGAAGAAUGUGUUGACACGAAGGCAAGCUACAAGGGGAUUAUGAGAUUAAAAAAGAAUACCAUUAAUUGCCUUGAAUGAAAUUUUUUUUUUAAAUGAAUAUUGAUUACUCUAUUGUGCGAUCUUUAUAUUACAUUAUGUGAACAGUUGUGUGGUUUUUGGGUUGUUGUUUUUUUAGUGUGUGUGUUUUGUUUUUUUUUCGUUGUUUAAAUUUCUAUUAACUAAACACCUUUAUUCCAUUAGUAGAGGCUAUGUUAGGCUGGCUUAAUUAUAUUGCAUGUGGUGACCCCCCCACCCCCAUAUCGGAAAAAAAAUCCGUGGACCCGCACUUGACCUAUCAGGAGUGUACCAUUAGGCUGAUAUAUCGUAUUAAUUAAUGGAAGAGUUUUGGUCUGUUGGUGGUCCUAUUUAAAAAAAUACUUUCAUCCAAAAAUAUAUUUGAAAUUCAACUCAUCUAUUUAUUUAUUUAUUGUUGUCUUUAUUAUUAUAUGAUAUUGAUUUAUAAACACUUACACCACUUUAUUUGAUAUAUAGAUAUAGACCUGUACAGAGAGAACCUACACGAUAUAGGCACUAUCUAUUUACUGCCAAUGCGAGAUAACUCAAACUUUCCAAAAAUUAAUUUAGCUUAAUAAUAUAUAUUCCUUAAUACAAACAAAAUCGAUUUGUGUUCUCAGCAAAUAUAAAAUUACCCUUAGAUUUGAAUUUGUUGCAAAUUAUAAAGUUCUGUAGAGUACUUUUAAAUACACACACAUAUAUAUAUAUAUAUAUUGAGAGAGUCCUUCCGGAUCAGCUCGAUCCGCAUGUCCCCUCUGUGACGUCAUGGACUGUGUGUAUGGUAGGUCGUUCAACUAGGAUAAGUUACUGGAAGUGCAGAAGAGCUCCGUGUAUUCAUGUCCCAUGAAGCUGUAAAACGAACAUUCAAUCAGCGAUGUUACUUGCCAUUUGCUGAGUGGCCUCAUCAUUUGAUGUAAACAUACACACCCAAAGGAUUUUGAAUCAAAUCAAAAAUGUCUGGAGGAGAGGAAAAUGGUCGCAACGGAGAAUCCGAGUCUGACAUCACAUGCCAUAAUCUAAACAAGAAACGCAGGUACUAAAGUGGUUUAAUGGUACAGAAAAUAAAUAUCUACAGGUAUAUAAUUUUUUGUCUUCAGCAUGUAGAAUACUCUGUCGUCUGACUCUCUGUCUAUUACACACCCUAGAAGGUUGUAUUACCCCUAAAGAGAGGACUCGGAUAUUUUAUAUUUAUUAUAUGAUUGAAUAAUUCCUAGCUCUCUCAUUGACUGAGAUCCAACAAUGUAGAAAUCAUACUACGUUAUGUUUACCUGCACGUGACCUUCCAGGUGAACAUAAGGAAUUAUUUUUUCCACAUAGGACCAAAAAUAGACCUUCCAGGUGAACAUAAGGAAUUAUUUUUUCCACAUAGGACCAAAAAUAGGUCGUUGAAACUUACAAUUAAAGCAAAGAACAAUCUUGAAGGGUUUUUAGAUCACCUGAGCCUUCAAGUGAGCUUUUCUGAUCACAUUUUGUCCGGCGUCCGUCUGUCUGUAAACUUUUCACAUUUUCAUCUUCUUCUCAUGAACCACUGGGCCAAUUUCAACUAAACAUGGCCAAAAGCAUCCUUGGGUGAAGGGUUUUCAAGUUUGUUCAAAUGAAGGGUCAUGUCCCUUUCAAAGGGGAGAUAAUCACAAAAAUGCAAAAAUAGGGUGGGGUCAUUUAAAAAUCUUCUUCUCAAGAACCACUGGGUCAGAAGAGCUGAAAUUUACCUGAAAGCUUCCUGACAUAUUGCAGAUUCAAGUUUGUUCAAAUCAUGGCCCCCAGUGGUAGGAUGGGGCCACAAGGGGGGAUCAAAGUUUUACAUACAAAUAUAUAGGGAAAAACUUUAAAAAUCUUCUUCUCAAGAACCACUAAGCCAGAAAAGCUGAGAUUUACAUGAAAGCUUCCUGACAUAAUGCAGAUUCAAGUUUGUUCAAAUCAUGGGCCCCUGGGGUUGGAUGGGGCCACAAUAGGGGAUCAAAAUUUUACAUACAAAUAUAUAGGAAAAAUCUUUUAAAAUCUUCUUCUCAAGAACCACUGAGCCAGAAAAGCUGAUUUUUACAUGAAAACUUUCUGACAUAGUGCAGAUUCAAGUUUGUUCAAAUCAUGACCCCGGGGGUAGGAUGGGGCCACAAGUGGGGGGUCAAAGUUUUACAUACAAAUAUAGGAAAAAGCUUUAAAAAUCUUAUUCUCAAGAACCAUUGGGCCAAAGAAAUUGACAUUUACAUGAAAGCUUUCUGACAUAGUGUAGAUUCAAGUUUGCAAAGGGUAGUUUGGGCCAUUAUAGGGACUAUUAGGUUUUACAUGCAAAUAUAUAUGGAAAGUCUUCAGAUAUGGGCCAAGGUGACUCAGGUGAGCGAUGUGGCCCAUGGGCCUCUUGUUUAAUCAUUUAAUCAUAUAAUAAAACAAGUAUUGCUGUUUUUGAGGUCAAUACGAUGAUUUAGCCACCUUCAAAGUACAAUAUUCACCUCGCCCUUCGGGCUCGGUGAAUUAUUGUACUCCUCAGGUGUCUAAAUCAUCGUAUUGACCUCAAAAAUAGCAAUAAUUGUAUAAUAUAUAUAUACCAUGAUUAAUGAAGCUAUUGCAGUCCCCACACGUAUAACAGUUAUAUGGAACACUAACUUAGUGUUUUCUUAAGCAGAUCCUAGUUAAUUUAUUCACAUUUCUUAUACUUAUGAUGUAUGAAAGAGUCUGGUGCUACAUGUCAUAGUUUUCAUGUAAAUUUUAUUUUCUCAUUAACAGUAUAAUAACAUUUUAUACUUAUGAUUGGUGACCAAUAUUAGCAAUUAUCAUAUGAUUGAAUAAUUUCCAAAAUUUCCAAUUCAACAAACUAGAAAAAAUUUAAUGUUAUGCUCACAUGCAUGUGCCUUUGAGGUGAAUAUAACAUUUUGAUUUCUCCAACAUCAGAUCAAAAAUCAAAAUUGGGAAUUUCCAAAUUUAUAUGAUUAUUUACAGGCCAUUCCAUGAAAACUCAUGUUUCUAAUCAGUUUUGACAAGGUCUUGCAUUGUAUCAUUAUACAAUAUGGCGGAAUAUAGGUAUCAUUUCAUAGGCUUUAGAAACCAGUUUCAAUGUUUGGAUUAUUCGUCAUAUAUAUAUGAUAAAACAAUUUUGACAUUCUCUUGGUCAAUACAAUACUAUUAGCUAUCCUCGAAGUUCAAUAUUGAACUUCUUAGUUAGCUGAAUCAGUAUUAACCUCAGAAUGUCAGUAACUGUAUGCUAACUUGGCUUGGUGACCAUUAUUAUUAGCUUAAUGUUAAUUUUGCUUGGUGACCAAAAUAAUCAGCUCUUUUUUCUUAAGGCCAGUUAACAGUCCUUUUCAUGCAGAUGACAAUCUAAGAAACUCAGGACCAGUAUUUUUUAUUUUAAAAUCAAUGCAUUCACGCUCAACUCUUAUGAUGCGAAAAGGGGUGAACACAGAUAUGCUAAUGAAUCAAGUUUACUACAUCACGUCAUACGAUGAAGUAACACAUACUGCAAAUAUCUAAUUCACACUGAAUCGAUCUAGCGUAAGACAUGCCCUCGGACUUUGUCAGUGAUUUUUCAUAUUAAGGUAAUAUGGAAUUGUUAUUGCAGCCCCAGUCCUGUCCAUUAAAUUGUCCUUUUAAAUCAUUAUUUCAAGAAAAUUAUACCAGUCCGUGCACUUUGUCAAAUGUUUCACUUGAAAUAUUUGAAUCGUUAUGUAUGCGAUGAACUUGUAGCAUUAUUUGCAUAGAAUCCCAAUAAUUAGCCAUAACUUGUAUGCGUUGUCAAAAAUUUUAAAUAGUUAUGUUUCCCCUCUUCCAGGAGGAGACAUAUUGUGUUUGUACUGUCUGUCCGUCUGUCACAAAAUCUUGUGAACGCUUCUCCUUUAUGCUUAUCAGAUAGACUUGAAACUUUGUACAAUGUUUCAUUGCCAUUUGUAGAUGUGCAUAUUGUUGGGAUGUGAAGAUCCAGUAAUUUUCCUAAACGUUAUAGUGGAUCUAAGAGGGAUGGAGGAUGUAAAAUAGCUUGUGAACACUUCUCCUAUAUUACUUACCCUUUGUACAAUGCUUCAUUGCUAUUUGUAGAUGUGCAUAUUGUUGGGACAGGAGGAUCCAAUUGUUAUCCUUAAAGUUAUAGUGGAUCUAAUAAGGGUGGAAGGUGUAAAAUAUCUUGGGAACACUUCUCCUGUAUGGUGUAUCAGAUAGCCUUGAAAUUUUGUACAAUGCUUCAUUAUCAUUUAAGGUAGUACUCUACAUCAUCAUAAUGGCUGACUUCCUUUAAAAACAUGGAUGAAAAAAUUGAUAUCAGCAAUAUUUGUCUUUUCCUUUUCCAUUAAAAUACCUAGCCGAGUAGCUCAGUAGGUUUGAAUACCGACUGCUGACCUGUAGGUCGCAGGUUCGAGUCCAGCAGGGGUUUUAAAUUUUUUUCAGAUUACCUUCUACUAAAACUGUAUUUUUUGACAAAAUAAAGUAAAUUUGAAAAUUUUCAACUUCAAAAUAUUGUUGUACAUAUCCUCCACUUUUCAUCUACAUCAAAUUUCUCUGGUGUAGCAUACCUCCUUAAUGCUGUUAAUUUGGUUCUGACCCAGGGAUCUAAUAUUUUCACUACAAUUUACAGUGGAUCAGAGAGGAGUGUUUUAUAGCUUUUUUUUUUCAUGUACAAGGGUAUGUUCACUUUCCUACUGGUACUUCAGUAUAACAGUCAGUAUUUUCGUAUCAUAUACACAACAAUGACAUUGGUUACUCGACAUGAUAUAUCUGCAUAAAGAUUGACUGUUGUGUGUUCAAAAUUUAGUGUAUGCUUACUAAUUUAAAAAUGUAUUCAGUGUAUAUAUAUGUGUAUUGUACAACUGCUUGAUCAUUUUGGCUUUCUAGUUUUACAAUGGAGAUUAGCUGUGACCCACCGCGUACACUCAGUCUGAUUUCAACUCACUAUCAGAAAGUUUCCCUUCAAUAGCUUACUUAGCCUCACGAGUGUGUAUGUCCAUUUGCCUAGCUGUCUUUGACAGAUCUUGUAUAAACGUUUCACAUGAUCAAACCUCUAUGAUAGAACUAGGGGAAAUAAGGUGGUGAUUUUACUUACAAUAUUCAGUCUUUAGGUUAUGAUAAAAAUUUACUUUUUCCUUUGUCAGAAACAAUAACUUUAAAACACAAAUACUAGAAUUUAAACAGCAAACAAUCAUAGGAAUUGCCAAAAGGAAUUAUGUUUAUCCAAGCAAAUGUACUUGGUGUCAGUUGGAUAAAUUAGGUUAGAAUGUGGCCUUGAUGUUACUAGUCUUAAAUCCCACCAUGGCCUUAAUGUCACUAGUCUUAAAUCCCGUCAUGGCCUUAAUGUCACUAGUCUUAAAUCCCAUCAUGGCUUUAAUGUCACUAGUCUUAAAUCCCACCAUGGCCUUAAUGUCACUAGUCUUAAAUCCCGUCAUGGCCUUAAUGUCACUAGUCUUAAAUUCCGCCAUGGCCUUAAUGUCACUAGUCUUAAAUCCCGUCAUGGCCUUGAAGGUGUCAGAAUUUUCAUUAUACCCCCCGCAAAGGAAGUUUUGGGGGGUAUACUGGAAUCACUUUGUCCGUCUGUCUGUCCGUUUGUCCGUAGACGCAAUUUGUCCGAAGUUUAUUUCUAAUACUGCUGGACAUAUUUCAUUCAAACUUUAUGCACAUCUUCUAUAUAUUAUGUAGUUGUGCAUCUCCUAUUUUCAUUGAAAUAUUUUAACAGUUAUAGAAGUUACGCACUUUUUUUUUUUCAUUUUGGGGGUUGCGCACUUUGUCCAGAGUUUAAUUCUAAUACCGUUGAACAGAUUUGAUUCAAACUUUAUUCUCAUCUUAUAUAUAUAAUGUAGUUGUGCAUCUUCUAUUUUCAUUGAAAUAUUUUAACAGUUGUGGAAGUUACAGACAUUUUCUGGUUUGGUUGUACUUGUAGUAAUAGACACAAUUUGUCCAGAGUUUAUUUCUAAUGACAAAGUAAAGUUGGCAUAACAUAAUGAUCUUUAACAAAGUGAAUAUACACUAAAGACUAGAAGAGUUGACCCAGGGAUUUGCAAUCAUACAGCCUAAAAUGUGCCAAAUAGUAUUCAUUGUUUAUAUUAAGCAUAUUUUUAAUAUUUCAUGUACUGCUGUACUGUAGAAUAUACACUUCUGCAUUCACAUUGAUUGCCCUGUAGAUAAUGUGAAAAUAUCCAAUGUGCUUGCAUUAAAUAUUUCCCAUCAUCUUAUAUGCCCCGCAGGGGGUAUUAGUCCCAUUAGGACAGUUCUAGUUUUUGCUUGUCUUUUAAUUUGUCUACAUAGAAUCCAAUUCUUCUCCAGAAGAGUUCAUAAAACAUUUCAAGAAGCGUUUUAAAAAAAAAAGUCCUUUAGAGAUAUGUGUUGCUUUUCAAAGCAAUUCAAAUUCCAUCAUGUUCACCAUGGCUUCUGAUUGGCUAGUGAACAUCUCCAGUAAAACAGUAAACCGUUAGACCCCUAACAAUGUAAUACACACAAGUUCUUUUAAAAUAUUACUAAAAUGAGCACUGUGACCUAUGGGUUUAGUUUGGUGUGCGUUUUGGAUUUAGGGGGAAAUUCAAUGCAUUAUUUGACCAUUCCAGCCAGUACUCAAAAGCUGUGCAUACAAUACGUGAAAAA